CGCCCGGGGAGCGCCCGGCCCUCCACCACCCCGGACGCCGCCCGAAACGGGCGCUCGUGGAGGCUAACGCGGAGGGGGACCGGGAGAUCCGCAGGCUGGAGCGCUGCCUGGGCCUGAACAAGCGCGGGAGGAAAGGAGACGCCAGGUCCGUGCCGCUCAGCUUCCCCCGCGACAGGCUCGAUGACUCCGUCCUGGGAGCCCUGGGGUGCGGGGAUCGGCGUGGCUGUGGGACAGCAGCAGCGAGGAGGAGGAGGACAGCCCGCCCGCCAAAGCGACGUGGGAAGUGACGCCAAGGACGCAAGCGGGGAGCAGGACGCCCACGAGGAUGAGCAGGGGCCGGAGGCCGGAGCGCAGAGCGAACAGGAGCAGGACGUGCAUGAGGAAAAGUGGAGACAAGCGCAAGAAGAGGGGAGGGCGAGGGAGAAACGGGGGGAAAGAGAGUCCGUUUGCAGAGGUUGAAGAAAGGGACAAUUUCCCAGAGGAUGUUGCCGCAGCACAACAGGUAUCGAGUGAACAGCCUCAGCUCUCUGGGACUCCCCUCGGCAUAAUUAUGGGAUGGGGUGGGCCACAGGAGCCACACUUGAUGUAUUUGUGCUUGAGCUGAGUGUGGUAAAUCGGCUGUUCUGUCUACUUUCAUUUUUUUAAUUCCCGUAAUAAAGAGUUAAGGGGGAAACCUCUCCAGAGGCUUUUCAUCCCAGGGAUGGAGAUGUCCCCUUAGGACCACCAGUGGGAAUGGCCAUUUAGUCCCUCCAAAAACUGGUGCUACAUUUGAUGUUUUUGUGCCGCUGUGCCAUACCCCCGGAAGUUAAAGCUGGGCAAAGUGUAGAACGUAGGGCUCUGUCGCCAGAUCCUGGAGGGACACAGCCAGGUCAGAGAACUACAGAGGGGAAAACAUAUUGCUAUCAACGCAAAUGGUGAGCCCACAGAUGCCGAGAGGAGUGCUUAUCCAGGCUGUUGUAGGCACUCAGCAAGUGCCUGAUGUUUGUUGAGCCACCGUGGUCAGUGGUUACAGCUCUGCCAGUUCCUGGGGAUUUAACAUCUACCAGUGCACAUAGCACAAGGGAAAGUGGGAUUUAUUCAGUGUAGAUUUUUGUAAUUUAUUUCUGUUCUUUCUAGCAGAGUCUUGGUGUAAAGUAAAUCCCCUUCAUGUGCAGGGCCACAUGGGGGGACAGUGGAUGCCAGAAAAGAGGAAAAGAGAGAGAGGCUAAAGAAGCAUGUCCAAGGCCUAAUUAACAGGACACUCCCAACUGCAGGGCUGACCUACUAUGUGACGUCUUCAGAAAGGCCAAUGAUCUCCCCACCAUCGGGGGCCAGCCAGGACUACCUGCCAGGAGAGAAGGGGCCAGAUGCCCACCAGCUCUGUGGCCCCGUCAUCAGGAUGGCUGUCAGCACCUCCGAGGGGAAGCUGCUAGAGCAGUGUGUGAAGCCCAACCUGAGACCUACUGAGACCGAUGCCCCACCCAGUGUCCCCUGAGGCAGGCGCAGCAUCCCCAGAGCCUAUCCCUGGGCAGACCCCAGCAGGCCACGAUGCCCCCAACAUCCUGCACACCUGCCAGCCAGAGCUCAUCCCUGAGCUGGGUGGGACUAGCAGACCGCGUGGUUGCGAGUAUGGAGUAUGGCUGUGGGUGACUGUCUACUGGACCAGCAGCUUCUGGGCCUAAAACCCACCGACGCCUCCUGACGACACCGGCCUUCUCUCUGUCUGCCUGUGGUGGUGUUGAGGAAGGGGUUCCUCUGCAUUUCUCACCUUUGUUCUGUUAGUGAAGAUACCGCCAGGCCCUCAAGGGUGACAGUCCCAGGUGUGGAACACCUGCAGCCUCCAGGACUGUUUGUUUAGAACAGACCCACUGUGGCCUGGGGAUGCUCAUAAUGCAAGGACAAAACUGGGUCCCUAAAGCAGACACUGUUUGAGUGUGCCCCUGCAGAGCACUUGUUUGCAACUUGUUGACCUCCGUUAAUGCAUGCGUGUGCAUGCGUGUACCAAUAAGUGCACACUCACAUGGCUGAGCCCCCAUGGGUCUGGAAACUGCUCCCUCUCCCAGGAGCUAUAGGAUCCUAGGAGAAGCCCAGACCAGACAAACAACAAAGAUUUUGAGGCCCUGGGUGGACCCUAGAGUCAGGCUCACUGUUAACCAAAAGGGUUGCUGAGCCACUCCUAGGCUCCCAUGUACAUCCCUUAACCCAGGGCCAAGGUGGCCUCAGGCCUUUGCCACUCUCCUGCUGGCUCUUGGGGCCACACGAGGACCUGCCUGCCCUGGCUCAAUUUUUACAAACUGGAUCUGCAGGGCCCCGGCGGUGGGGCAGAGAGAAGUCCUGCCUAGCCCCCUCCCAGCAAGUGUACAUAGUGUGUAGAGGGGAGUGUGUGCGAGGUGAGAUGCACGCCUGAUUAGUAAUGUGGCUGCAGUGCCACAAUGUCCCCAUCCCAGGAGAGAUGUUGACUUAUUAUUCCUGAAUAGCUCCUUACAAUAGAAACCAAAUUUCUUUUAAUAUAUGAGAUGUAUGUACAUACUCGUGAAAUACGUGAACUUUGAGGGUGAUCUAGAGGGUGUCCCCUAAAAAUGUACACACACUUGAACAGCUUAUAACUCAGUUUUCACUCCUUUUCAGAUUUAACAGAUUUGAAAUAAUGAGUGAAGCCAGCCUGUGCUUUGGACAAAGAAAAAUCCACUAGAUUUUCUUAUGAAGAUACAUAAAAAAAGUUUACGGCACAAAACCGGCAAAGUCAACAAAUCAAGGGCAGUGUUGAAAGAGAAGGCACACGAGCACCGAACCAAACGAUUCCCAACGUUUGCGAUUCCUUCACAUUAUCGGCAGUUCCUGGACCAGAACUGACACGAAGCGAAGGAAUCUCAGGAAUCACUCCAUUCGGCUUGGGGUGUGCCUUCUCUUUCAACAGCUGCCCUUGAUUCCUCAACUGUUGCCAGUUUGGGGCUAUAUAAACUUUAUCUUUUGUGUAUCCCCAUAAAGCAUCUAGUGGGUAAGUUUUCUCUGUUCAAAGCUUAGUCUGGCUUCACCCAUUACUUCAGAUUCGUUAAACCUGAAAAGGAGUGAAAAUAAAUGAGUUAGCAACUGUAAAAGUGUGCACAUUUAUGUUCCAUCAGAGUCACCUCUGUGAACCUUUUGGGGGACACCCUGUAUGUAUGCUUUAUUGGGAGUCUCACCUGUGCAUACAGUUUUUGGGGAAACCUUAUCUUUGUUCCAUCAGGAGUGUCAUCUGUGUGUACCUUUUUGGGGAUACCCUAUAUAUUCCAUCAGGCAUCUCACCUAUUGUGUACCUUUUUGGGACACCGUAUAUUCAUGUCCCAUUGGGAGUCAUUCUUUGCUAUCAGGAGUCUCACCUGCUGCUGUGUGUAUUUGGCCAGGUUCCUGACACAUUUUGUUUCCUGUUUACUAAAGGUGCUCCUCCUGGAUGUACUUAACCUGGUGAUUUUGAUUUUAUAAAGAUUUUUUUCCUUUUGAGUUAAUAUACUGAGAAGGAAAUGGGCAUGGUAACGUGGUCAAUUUUAUAAGUGCUUUUGAUGUGUAUUAAAUAGCCACUGAUUCUGGACACAAGAAUGGGAUUGUAAUAAAAUGAGAGAAUAGAA